rnacentral:rRNA from 1 species
UACAGGGGGGGCAAGCGUUGUUCGGAAUUAUUGGGCGUAAAGGGUGCGUAGGCGGUGCGGUAAGUCUGUAGUGAAAUCUCUGGGCUCAACUCAGAGUCUGCUAUAGAAACUGCCGUGCUGGAGUGUGGGAGAGGUGAGUGGAAUUCCCGGUGUAGCGGUGAAAUGCGUAGAGAUCGGGAGGAACACCUGCGGCGAAAGCGGCUCACUGGACCAUAACUGACGCUGAUGCACGAAAGCUAGGGGAGCAAACAGG